GCUCAGUUCUCUCCCUCAGUGGAGGAAGCAACAGAGACGCACCGAUGGACAGCGUGUUCAGAACUGCCUGAGGAUGGACAGGAGUGUCAACACGGAAAAAACACGGAUUGGAUAUCAAUGAGGUGAGGGCCAGAGAGGACUGGCUGCCAGCACACACUUUCCUGAUGAUGAAUCCAUGCAGGGCCUCUAUGACCUUUGGGCGAUACACACGAUUGGUGUCUCCAUGACCUAGUUUACCUGCAAGGGACCACACAGUGCGUCCAUCCUGCGCCACAGCGAUGGUGUGAGAGCUGCCGCAGGCCACCUGUCCAACACCACUGAUGUCCUUCACUAGAGUGGGCACGUUACGACUCUGACUGUCACUGUGACCUGCUCAGGGAACAAACACAAGACAACAGGUUGUUGCUGUAGACCGGAGGAAGGGGUAUCACUGAAACAGUUGAGACAAAUGAGAUCAGACAACUUGAGAAAACGGGGCGUGUACCAAGUCUGCCAAAGUCGCCUUCUCCCCAGUGAUGGCCAAAGUGUGCCCGUCAGAGCCCUUGGAGGAGGACACCUUCUUCAUGUUCCUAUGAGGCUCCAGCACAAGUUUCUUGGGCAUGGACUGGUUAUUGGAGUCCCCGAGGCCCAGGCGGCCAUAGCUGCCUUUCCCACACGCUUUCACUGACCCAUCUGUAGAGACUGAGAAGGUACAGUACUGCCCCGCCUCAAUCUGAAAGGAGGACAUAGUGGAUAGAAUCAAUAAGAUAUAAAUCAGAUAAAUAAUAGUAUGCAUUAUUAUGGAAAAAUACCAGUCCAUAUGUAUUGGUAGCCUCACCAUUUGGGCAUCACUGAAGCCCUGAGUCAGCUUUGGCAGCAGGAUUUUCUCCAGAGUUCCCUCUGCCAGCUGAUGGCUGCUGUUGCUGCCCCACACGUACACCAUCACUGUGUCACUCUCUGAACCAGGAGCAGCUGCAUCAGUGCUGCAGGAGCACAGGCAGUAGGAUGCUAGGUUACAGAUCUGUCAGAAGGGAGGAGGAUGAGGUGCAUAAAGUCAGUUACUGGAAAGUAUAACAGCUCUUAUUAGUGCCUGUGUAAAAACAAAUCCCUCUUACCUCCUCAAACAGGCAGAGAGCAGCCUGGGAGAGUCGACAGAGUCCAUCUGCGUCCUUCUUCAGCACCUGAGUAUUGACGGAGUCCCCGCGGAAACCCUGGAAAAAAGACAUUUAGUUUCUUCAUCAAAGUCUGUUUUUAAUGUAACCUGUGACUCACUGUGUGUGUAUUUGAUGUCGGUUCAGUUUAUCCGUUUUAUUACACUCUAAUUAUCAAUUUGUAUGCACACAUUCUUCCUAAACUGAGACAAAUCAGUGCAAGAUCAGGCAGAUGGUGAAAUCAAGAGAAACAGAGAUGCAGAAAUGGUUAGAUCCUAGUCCUCAGAUGCAGAUCUUAAGUGUGUGUUUAUGUUGUGUAAUACCUCCGGAAGCUUUUACAUUUAUAACAAUUAAGUUUAGGACGAGAAAACUCAAUCAUGACGUUUUUUGCAAUAACCAGACAUUGUUAUUAUUUGUCAAUUUAAAGUGCAAAGCUGAUUACCUUACUAAACAAUGAAUCAAAAAGGCAUAAACUGUAGAGGAAGGGCAGGAAGACCGGCUCAAUCUUAAUCUUAUCUGCACAAUAAUGCAUCACUCAAAGCCUCAAUGAGAAUGUUAAUGAUACCAGCUACAG